rnacentral:rRNA from 1 species
CACUCCUGCGGGAGGCAGCAGUGGGGAAUUUUGGACAAUGGGCGAAAGCCUGAUCCAGCAAUGCCGCGUGAGUGAAGAAGGCCUUCGGGUUGUAAAGCUCUUUUGUCAGGGAAGAAACGGUGAAAGCUAAUAUCUUUUGCUAAUGACGGUACCUGAAGAAUAAGCACCGGCUAACUACAUGCCAGCAGCCGCGGUAAUACGUAGGGUGCAAGCGUUAAUCGGAAUUACUGGGCGUAAAGCGUGCGCAGGCGGUUUUGUAAGUCUGAUGUGAAAUCCCCGGGCUCAACCUGGGAAUUGCAUUGGAGACUGCAAGGCUAGAAUCUGGCAGAGGGGGGUAGAAUUCCACGUGUAGCAGUGAAAUGCGUAGAUAUGUGGAGGAACACCGAUGGCGAAGGCAGCCCCCUGGGUCAAGAUUGACGCUCAUGCACGAAAGCGUGGGGAGCAAACAGGAUUAGAAACCCGUGUAGUCCC